GUACUUCCCAUCAGAGCCGCGACUCCUCCGCGCGCCGCCGCGGGAUAAGCCCGGCAUGAGUGUGCUGCUGAGGGCCGUGGCGGGGCCGCCCAGCGCCGCAGCGCGCGCGGUGAUUCCUUGUCUUUGGAGAGGAAAAUACUUCAGCUCCGGGAAGGAGCCGGCAGAAGGCAGCCCGGUGACUCCAGUGCUGCGGCAUCUCAUAUACAAAAUCAAGUCUACUGGCCCCAUCACUGUGGCCGAGUACAUGAAGGAGGUCUUGACCAACCCAGCCAAGGGUUAUUACGUAUACCAUGACAUGCUAGGAGAACAAGGAGAUUUCAUUACUUCACCGGAAAUAAGUCAGGUCUUUGGGGAGCUCCUAGGAAUAUGGUUCAUUAGUGAAUGGAUGGCCACUGGAAAAAGUGCAGCUUUCCAGCUGGUGGAACUGGGUCCAGGUAGGGGUACCCUCAUGGGAGAUAUUUUAAGGGUGUUCAGUCAGCUUGGAUCUGUGCUGAAAAACUGUGACAUUUCAAUACAUCUGGUAGAGGUGAGCCAAAAAUUAAGUGAGAUUCAGGCAUUAACACUGACUGAACAGAAGGUCUCAUUAGAGCGAAAUGCUGGCUACCCAGUGAAAGGUGUUACUAAGUCUGGGAUUCCAAUUUCAUGGUACCGAGAUCUGCAAGAUGUUCCAAAAGGGAACAGCUUUUAUCUGGCACAUGAAUUUUUUGAUGUUCUUCCUGUGCAUAAGUUUCAGAAAACACCACAAGGAUGGCGAGAAGUACUCAUUGAUAUUGAUCCACAAGUUUCUGAUAAACUGAGGUUUGUUUUGGCACCUUGUGCCACCCCAGCAGAAGCCUUCAUACAACUUGAUGAAACAAGGGACCAUGUGGAAGUCUGUCCUGAUGCUGGUGUUAUUAUUCAGGAACUUUCUCAACGCAUUGCACUAACUGGAGGUGGUGCACUGAUUGCUGAUUAUGGUCAUGAUGGAACUAAGACAGAUACCCUCAGAGGAUUUUGUGGCCACAAGCUUCAUGAUGUCUUAAUUGCCCCUGGAACAGCGGAUCUAACAGCUGAUGUGGACUUCAGUUAUUUGCGCAGAAUGGCACAGGGAAAAGUAGCUUCUCUGGGUCCAGUAAAACAACAAAUGUUCUUAAAAAAUAUGGGCAUUGAUGUCAGGCUAAAGGUUCUUUUAGAUAAAUCAGACAAGCAAUCAAGGGAGCAGUUGCUACAGCAGUAUGAUAUGUUAAUGAAUCCUAAAAAGAUGGGAGAAAGAUUUAACUUUUUUGCUUUGCUACCUCAUCAGAGACUUCAUGGUAAAAGUCAGACAAAUGCAUGUCAGUCAAAACCCUCUCCAUCACCUGUAGCUGGGUUUGGUGAACUUGCUUGGCGGUGAUACUAAAGUUUGGACUUUUUACUCCUAAGUCGGCCUACAAAACCAAAAUAAAGGGAACACAUUUCAUAUAUCACAGAUGGCAACCUAUAAAGAACAACAGUUGUACAACAAAAUAUCAGUCCAUAAAAUGAAGUCCUUCCUUAUGGAAGUUAGUUCACUGAUCAUUAAGGAUCUUCCUCCAUAUCGUCUGGAUUGGGAGCCAUAAUGAAGUGCUUUGGAUAUACAAGGUUGUGUGUGUAUGCAUGUAUUUCCCACCGGGCAUCGUCACUUUCAUGUGUGAUGUAACGUUCGCCAAUGCGUGUUUCAAAUUCUCUAAGGUCAAGCCAAGUCUGAUAGUCCUAGAAAAAAUGCAGUGAUUAUGAACCACAAAGGAAACAAAAUACAGUCAACCUUUUUUUUUUGCUUAACAUCCUAGUCAUAACCAACAACCCCUACUCAUCAGUACUUGCUAUACAAUAAGCUCCAUUUGUAAUAUUUUUAAAUUAGCAGUGUUAAAGAUAAAUACUUUUUCAAAUUCAGAGUCUCUGAACAAAGUAACUAGUUUCUAAAUUUUUUUAAAAAAUUGCUUCAGGCUUCUGAGGUGGUUAAUCACCAAAACAUUUUAUUCUGUCCCCAAAACGGGAAAGUGCUUACAGUCUAUUAUCAGGAUAAUUAAAUAAUAGUGGAGACUAUGAUUGCAUUUGCUUUGAUGUUAAUUCUACUCUGCACUCCCUUUAAAAUAGUUCUAAAGCUCCUCUUUAUUCUGAAGUUAGGGGCAUCUUUUGACAAAUCUGUGCAAUAGCUUUUGGCUAAGGCAAACAUUUUAAUUGGCAUUUCUGAUCACUUCAGUGCAAAUACAAAUUUUUUAGUGGACUUUUUAAAAGUUAGAUAUAUUUGACAAAAUAAGUCAUGCUUAUCUUACAGAAAGAUGAGAUGAAGCAAAAGGCCCUAUAAAAGGCUAUAUUAUUGCUUUCAAUUUAUGGGAGUUGAACUGCCUAUCAGUUUGGCAUUUGAGUGGUAUACUGCAAAACUUCCAGAGAUUCAGCUGCAGCACAAAUUAGUCACUGCAGAACACGUACAUUAUUCUAAGAUGUAUAGAGUCUGUUGACCAUAGAGAGUGGUUUCUUUAGGUAAGACAAAUCACAAUGAAAUGCACAAAUGAGGAUCACCAGAGACUUUUUUUUACCUGUAGCCAGGGAUGACUAAGAGACUUGUCCACACUGUAACGUUUUCUCAUCUUCACUUGAAGUAGAUUGUUUAUCAAAUCUAUUGCUAAGGGACAAGACAAAAUUAGGUACAUGCAUUUGGGUGUGUGGAGCACCUCAAACCUGUGACUAUCAGGAAGGCAGUUCAAUCCAUGUAAACACAGGGUUGAGGAUUUUUGCUUCUCAAAGACAUGGUCUUUAAUGAUCCAUAAAUACUUACUGUAGUGUACCUAUUUUAUUAAGUGUACCUGUUUUACUGGGGAGGCAGUACAGAGUAAAGUGUAGAUUCUGGAGCCCCGUGCCUGGGCUUAAGUUAUUCUGCCACUUUGUGUGCUAUGGGGUGAGUUAGUAAACCAUACUGUGCCUUAGUUUCCUCAUCUGUAAAAUGGGGUUGAGAGGAUGAAACAAGUAUUACAUGUGAAGGGCAUGGAGGAGCUAAGUGCUAAGUAAGAAUAAACUACUACUUUAAGAUGA